GCGUCUGUGGUGCAAUGGUUAGCACGCGACUCCCCGAAAGGGUUAAAUGCGGGUUCGAAUUCCGUGUGAUGUU